rnacentral:lncRNA from 1 species
GCUUCACUGAUAGCAUGCAAUUCACAUGAAGAUUGAAAAGCAAAUGGUUGGUAAAUAAGUGUUUGUUGGACUUUGCAGAGACAAUGAGACAUGGAGUGGACUCUGAUCUAUAGGUCCUGCUGAGUCCCCCCCACACAGCCCAUACUCUUUGCAGAUAUCUCUGGUGAUAGCUCAAUUCCAGGAAUAAGCUUCCUAUCUCAGUUUUUAUUAAGCAGUUAGGGAGAGGGUCAGAGUUUUCUCCUGAGUGUUUUGGGCUUUGAUUGUUUUCAGCUCAAAGUAAUUUUGUGCCAAAGAGGCAUUAUGGGGUGCCAAGUUUUGCUCCCAGACAUUUGCUUCUUUUUUUUUUUUAUUUCCUCUUAAUAUCUAUUUAAAGAAUUGAUCAAAUUUGCUGUACAACAAAAUGGUAUCAAGAGAAUACUUGGUUUAUGACUUCAUCUUCCAUGUUGAAAUAAAAUAAUAAAACAAUAAUAGCUAUAAUAAAUAAUGACAAAACUUAUGAAUUUGACUUCAUUUCCCAUCUAAUCCUAGCUAUCUUUCAAAUCGUUAGUCCCUGAAGCAAAUUUUGUUCAUUUUUUUUGUGCUUUUGGGUUUAGAGCUAUGUUUGCCAAAUAUUUGAUAGAACACUAGUCUUAAGAAAGUGUUUUUGGAAGAAAGUAUGCUGGUUGAAUGAAUACAUUUGGGAAUGGGAAAAACUAACCAUGUGACCCCCUUCCUUAUGGAAAGUCAGUAUAUGCAUUAGUUUAUUAAUGGUCUAAGUAAUUUUUAGAGCAUCAAUAUCCUUUUUUGCAUUAAUUAAAGAACCUGUUGUGUUGUACAAGCUGUGUUGUACAGUAUACACUAUAGGAAAUAUAUCCUUAGAGAGGUUUAUAUACUGGAUAUUAUUCCUAUCUUGACACUAUUUCUAUUCCUACUCUUCCAAGAUAGUAUAUCAUAUAUACACAUAGCAUAUCAUAUAUAGUAUUUAUUUAGUAAACUAGAAGAGGUCAACAGGUUUUAAAGAUGUUGCUUGGUGAGAAGGUUCUUUGUUGAUUUUCUAAAAAUUCUUUUUGCUUUCUUUAGUUCUCUCUUUAUUCCCUAUCAUCUUACCCAUUUCGAAUCUGAAGUAUUUGCAAAACUGACCUAGAAGGAAUACAGUUCUUCCUCUUUGGUAUUGCAAAAUUAGCACUGUAAUAUCUACCCUAAGAUAUAUGUAGUUCAGGCAGCUUUUGUGGGUCAUAUCUCACUUUAUGUAUAACAUCUCAUUCUGGCUUUGAGUUUUAGGAAUAAAGUGGAUUAAUUUAAAAAUAGCUGUUCUGUUUUGUAGUGAAAGUAUACCAGUGUUGUAAUUGGGAAGGAUAUGAAAAAAAUCAAGAGGCAGUUGUAAAAAUAGGUUCACACAGCUAGGACUUCAACUCAGUGCUUGAAAACAUUGUAUAUAAUUUUUAAGAGUGUGCUGGACUCUUCUCAUGGCUUCCUUUCAGAGGAAAAGCAAAAAUAUUAAUGAAAUGUUAGUAUUAGAAAACUGAGGUAAAAUGACUCAUAUAGUGACUUUGUGACUUAUCUUUGAUAGACGUGAUUGUCAUUACUAAAAUAUCUGAGGCCAUUGUUUUUGAAACUUAUUAAUAUGAUAUCUAAUUUAGUCAUAGCUACUGUGAGCUAGAUUAAGAUUUCAUUUCAUAAGUGUCCUUGUCUUUAUGAACUCCAGACUCCUUUCUAAUUUGGUUUAGAUUAAAGAUAAUCAUUCAUGGUUAUAAGUUCAAUUUAAUAUUGACUAAGUCAGACAAUAAACUAUCUAAUAUUUACAUCUGCUUAGAGAUAGCCUGCUUCAUUUAUUUUAAAUGGAAAGGUUUAAAAAAGCCUUUCUAUUUCUUUUUUUGUUAUUGAAGAGACUCAUAUAGGAGAAGGUACAUAGCUAACAGUUCUAUCCUUCUCUGAGUUCUACUUGUUAAACUUAAAAGUGGUAAAAAAUUAUUACCAACAAAAAUUUUGAGAAAUACAUGCAAAUAGUCUAGUUGUAUUGAACAUCAACUUAUAUAGUAGCUUCCCCAUUCCUGUAAGUUAUUCUGAGAUUUUAAACAUAUGAUUGUUUUGAUGAUACAGUUUAUUUGCCCAGUCCACAUUAAAAUCCGAAUGAAUUUUAAUAUUGAAAUAACAGUAAGAAACUCUUAUUUCAAGUUGCUGCCUUUUGUUUGCUGUACACUACUACAGUGUCAAAGAUUGAUUAUUUUUCUUUUAAAGCUGAUAUAGCUUCUACAGUUGACUGACUGCUUUUGAAUGACAAAAAGAAGGCAUAUCAAGGCUAGAAUUAGUAAUGCCAACGAAGACAUCUUUUCUUUCUUAGCAAAAAAUAAGACUAUUUAGUUAGACUAUUGACUUUUUUCCUUUUCUUUUUCUUUUUUCUUUUUCUUUUUUUUGUCUUUUUAGGGCCAUAUCUUCGGCAUAUGGAGGUUCCCAGGCUAGGGGUUGAAUUGGAACUAUAGCUGUUGGCCUGUACUACAGUGGCAGCAACGCCAAAUCCUAUGAGCCGUGUCUGCGACCUACACCACAGUUCACAGCAAUGCCAGAUCCUUAAUCCACUGAGUGAGGCCAGGGGUUGAACCUGCGUCCUCACAGAUACUUGUCAGAUUCGUUUCCUCUGAGCCAUGAUGGCAACUGCUUUUUUUUAUUUAACUUUUUUCCUUCAUUGAAGAUAUGUUAUUUUUACAUUUUUCAAUGAAAAACGUUGUCAACUUUUAGAUUUGUAAAAGAGUUAGCAAUUAUGGUUAUUUUGAAGCCAUGCAUUGUUUAUUAAGCUAAUUUUCCAUAUGUGUAUAAAAAGAUCUGAACAUUGAUACAUUUUUAUUGUAUUUAUAACUAAUAGUGAAAAUGUUUAAAUAUAUAAAUAGCUGGUGAAAUUUUUAUAUAACAUAUUAAAAAGUCUGUUGUCUUGUAAAAGCUUUAAUGCUAACAGCAUCUGUUAAAAUAUAAAAACAAAUCUGAAGUUCUCUAAGAAAAAUACAUUAGUUUCCUUUGAGGAUACUAUUGUUGCUUUGCUGCCCUCUACAGUCAUCUAAAAGUCAGUCUAGACGUUUCCCCCAUGAUGACUAAAAUACUUCCUUGACAUUUGUGCUAUAAAUUUCAAGAGUGAGUUGAGUAAUAUUUUCUGUUAAAAUAUGAUAACAUUUUAAUUGAUCACAACAGUUGAUCUACACCUGUAAUGCAAAAAAUAAGUCUUAGAAAUUGAAGGAGGAAAUGGAUUGAGGACCCACGUGCAUCAAUAAGGAAAUGGAUAAUAGAGCACCAACCAAGUGAUAAGAAGUAUAGAGGAUACCACAGUGGAGUAAGACAUGAUGGCUGCUCCAAGCUUAUAAACCCAUUAGUAAGACAAACCAGAUAUUUUUAGUAACAUACCAUAUGUUAGAUAUUUGUAAUAACAUUUCAAGUAGUGGUAUGAUAUAG